UACAGAGGUCCCAAGCGUUGUUCGGAUUCAUUGGGCGUAAAGGGUGCGUAGGCGGCGCGGUAAGUCGGGUGUGAAAUCUCGGGGCUUAACUCCGAAACUGCAUUCGAUACUGCCGUGCUUGAGGACUGGAGAGGAGACUGGAAUUUACGGUGUAGCGGUGAAAUGCGUAGAUAUCGUAAGGAAGACCAGUGGCGAAGGCGGGUCUCUGGACAGUUCCUGACGCUGAGGCACGAAAGCGUGGGGAGCGAACAGG
rnacentral:rRNA from 1 species